rnacentral:ncRNA from 2 species
CUCGCCACCAGCGCCGAUUUGUUCCAGAUUGCGGGCGCUUUAGAAAUGCCGCUAAAGGGGAGAUUCCCGGUCUCGC